UACGUAGGGUGCAGGCGUUAAUCGGAAUUACUGGGCGUAAAGCGUGCGCAGGCGGUUUGCUAAGACAGGUGUGAAAUCCCCGGGCUUAACCUGGGAACUGCGCUUGUUACUGGCAGGCUUGAGUGUGGCAGAGGGGGGUGGAAUUCCGACGUGUAGCAGUGAAAUGCGUAGAGAUGUGGAGGAACACCGAUGGCGAAGGCAGCCCCCUGGGCUAACACUGACGCUCAUGCACGAAAGCGUGGGGAGCAAACAGG
rnacentral:rRNA from 1 species